GAUGAACGCUGGCGGCGUGCUUAACACAUGCAAGUCGAACGGAAAGGCCCAAGCUUGCUUGGGUACUCGAGUGGCGAACGGGUGAGUAACACGUGGGUGAUCUGCCCUGCACUUCGGGAUAAGCCUGGGAAACUGGGUCUAAUACCGGAUAGGACGAUGGCUUGGAUGCCAUUGUGGAAAGUUUUUUCGGUUUGGGAUGAGCACGCGGCCUAUCAGCUUGUUGGUGGGGUAAUGGCCUACCAAGGCGUCGACGGCUAGCCGGCCUGAGAGGGUGUACGGCCACAUUGGGACUGAGAUACGGCCCAGACUCCUACGGGAGGCAGCAGUGGGGAAUAUUGCACAAUGGGCGCCAGCCUGAUGCAGCAACGCCGCGUGGGGGAUGAGGGCCUUCGGGUUGUAAGCUCCUUUCGCUAUGGACGAAGCGUUUUUGUGACGGUACCUGGAGAAGAAGCACCGGCUAACUACGUG
rnacentral:rRNA from 1 species